GUUCUAAUCCCUUUGUUCUGAAUUACUUGUCGCAGAUAUGAAUGUAUCUAGAUGCAUUUUAGUUCUACAUACAUCCAUUUCUGCGACGAGUUAUUUGGAACGGAGGGAGUACAGU
rfam:Triticum aestivum genome assembly, contig: Triticum_aestivum_CS42_TGACv1_scaffold_486317_6AS